UUAUCAUUUCUCUGAAGUCUGAACCUCGCCUAGUUCUUGGUCCAAUGUGAGUAUGCUUCAGAGAUAAUGAUUUCUUAUGUAACAUGCGCUUUCACAUCUGAAAAAGCACAUAAAUAUAUAUAAUAGGAAUAGUAAUCAGAUGCUCAAAAACUAUAACCUGAACAUAUCAGUGCUUAAACCAAAUUAUCUAUACACAACCAUAAAAACUAAAAGAACCAUCUAACAGAACCAUGGAAGGCUUAGGUUGCAUGUCCUCAACUGAAAUGGGUGAGUUCUGGGCAUCCUUCUAAGCUACUCUGUUUAACAUAGCUCAUGAUCAAUACUUCAUGCAUUUACCAAGCCUGCUAAUGCUUUUUUGAAGUUGACGUCCCUAUUUAAAAUUCAAAUAUCAAUUUGCACCAAUAAAAUAUUUCUUGAUAUGUAGGUGCAUCCGACAAACUGUAGACACGAAAUAUUCAUUGCAUGAACCAAAAGUAGAUGAGCUACCUGUAGAUGCAAGGAAAUAAUGACAAACUGCAACCAGUUCUCCUAUCAGUAUGUAACUGUGUGCCAUUAAUCUCAAUAUACCUCACUCUUGGGCGAAGUCAAGAUCCAUUCUAGAUCAGUGCAAGAAGCUUCAAUACUACACCUUCCAUAAAAUACAGGAACUUGUCCAUAUUUUACUGCAUCUCCCAAUAGCAGCAAUAUCAUAAUCUUCUGCCGCUUGCUCCCUUCUUCUAGUUUCAGCAAGAAAAAAUUAUUCAGUAAACUGAAAUUGAAAAUCUUUUGGGAAGUAGGUCGGCUCGGUGUGAAGCAAUGGUUUUAGGUAACUGUCUCUGGUUCAAACUUUGCCAAUGGGUGUGUAUCGUCAACCAUAUUUCUACCUUCCAGUAAGCACGAAAGAUAAUUAUUCCAAAACUACCUACGUGAACAUCAUUGUCUGCAUAUAUCGAGAAAUAAAGAUAAAUUCCUAUAACUACUGGCUUGUUCCUACAGGAUAAAGAAAAUGUUCUUUUUUCGCUAUUUUACCUUGGCAGACAUCAAGGGCAUUCAGUGAUAACACCAUUCUUAAAUAUGUCUCCACCAAAGUAAUCAUAGCAUGCCCUGUUGGUAAAACAUGAACAAUUCUUAUUUAUCUGCAUUCAAAUUUGAUGACAAAGCAUACUGGAGAGCAGGAAACAGCUAUAGGUUUCUGAAGUUAGAAAAAAAAUCAGUGCUUAAAUGGCAUAUAGGCUUCAGGUCAGAUCAUUUUUUUAUAAAAUUGUCCUGUCGUGCUCACACAAUAUUAUGCAUCUAAUCCUAGGCAUUUAAGUAACCAAAUUACUGUGAAUAAUCUGUGGACACAUAUUUAUCUAUUCUGAGCCAACUUCUUUGGAUUCCUAACUUGUAUAGCUGAAUCAAACUCACUUAAUCAAGCGGAUGCUAUGAGCUGCAAGGCUAAAGAGAAUAUGUUACAACUAUUCGUACUACAGUCAAAAAAUUGCACACAUGAUAAAUUUUGACAUUCGCCGGUGAGGAAAGAACAUCAAAAGCUGCUACUAUAUACUGGGUUAAGUGGAUGGAACAAAAAUCACAAAUCUAUACCAAAAUAAUUUGUAUAUAGCCAUAAAACAAAAUCCAUUGCAAGAAGAUGCUACGUACAUACCUUGACCUACAGCAGCAGCAGCAGCCAAACACUAACAGAGAGCACCUUCAAUGAGCAGACUAAGCAGCAUGUGGCGAGGGGAAGUGGCACCACUUGACCACCAUACAACACUCAUCAUCAGGUCAGUGUCCACACUACCCAAGCCUCAAACUCUAGGUUCAUCUCUUUUGUCAAUCUGUCGAGUUGAAUUGAUGCUCUUGGGUAGUGAGAGACACGAUCCAUGGAGGUAGAUUGGGUACAGGGGUUAGAACUUGGUCUUGAACUUGGUGUCGGGACGAUGUGGGCGCAGCCGGGGCGUAAACCAUCAAUAACCAUAUUCCUUGUGCUGAAAACAUAGUCAUGUACCCUUGUAAAUACAAUCAUAAUAAACCUGCUCUAAUGUCGGUCACUACCCGUCUCAAUUCCCCUAACUCGAGGUUGCAACUUGCAACUUCAAGAAUCAUUCUAAUAAAAUAAUACCGCGAGUGUUUUCCCAUCAGGGGUGAUGUCCCUGUCAUGGAAGCACCGCCUGUCAACUCCAAGCUUCUUCAUGAACUCGAAUUGAGAUAUCACCAAAACAGAAAUCGAAGCAUAAGUUGUUGAUUCCAGCCAUGGACCUAAGACACAAGAUCAGGUAAUUCCCAUACUUCUUCUCUUAGCCAUGGCCAGGGAAUUUGUGCCAUCCUCCCAAGGCCAGUUCUUUGUAGGUGCACCAAAAGGAUCUCCUCCAGUACCCCGAAACAUAUGCCAGAAUGCCACACUGAACUGCAACCUAACCUGUAGCACAAAACAAAUAUAUAAUCCUAGUGCAGCACAUAAUGUACAAGUAAAUUAAAAGGAUAAUCCUAGUGAGCAAAUGAAUCAACCCUCUGUAAAAUUUAAUAUAUAUCAUGCACGCAAAUAUCAAAGGAAUAUAAGAAAUGUAGGUGGACAAUAUGUACAGGACACCGUUCAUAACAUGGAAUUAACUAAGAAAUUUCUAGCCAGUCUUACAAUCCUUGUUUCUUGAGUUUGCCUAGAUCAUGAAGGUGAGAAAGAGCAUCAACUGUAGUGAGCAAAUGUCAACCCUCUGUACUCAGUAGAAUGGUUUGUGAUUUAGGAAUAUGUGGCCUUGGUAAGGAAAGUUAAGAUUUGCAAGGAAAGAUUAGUACAGGGAUGGAUCGGGCUGGGUGGGGCUCUCAUGAUCAUCCAUUUGGGUAUGCUAGAAAAAAACCAGAGGAAAAUCGGUGGGCUUUUCUUUCUUUGGAAAAAAAUCAGACGGGAGGUGGGCUAGCAUUGAGAAAAUCGGUGGAGGGGGCUAGCAAUUGAAUUUCAGUUUUAGUACUAUUAAGUACUUUCUCAACAGUACUAAAUGCUCCUUUACUCGGUGGUCAAAUGCAUGCCAUUGUUCUGCAGUAUGCAGGUGUGUUAUCAAGUAAUCAUAACUCUGAGCGUCUAAAAUAAAGCAUGAAAAUUACGAAACACACCUUGCACAUUUUGUUGUGUAAUAGGAACGACAUCCAAUUCCAAUACUGAUGGUAAAUGAGACCGGAGGAGAAGUGUCAGCUCAAGUAAAAUCAUUUACAUCGACCUUCACCUUAGAAUUAAUAUGAAUUAGUAUGUAAUCAUCAACAUCAAAAGCAGUAUUUCCUAUGGACCGAGACAAUUCUCAGAUGUGUCCAUAAAAGGGCUACUAAGAAGGAACCAAAAUCAUGAUUAUCUUACCAAAAUUAUGCACUUCCGAUGGGCUUGAACAUGAGAUCUCCGCGGUGUGGCAAAUAACAUCUAAACUACCAGUAUCUGCAUGAUGCCAAGACGAGAAAGGUAGCGUCACCUCCACCGUGUCUCUGACAUUCAUGAUCUGCCCCGCUGUUGUAUCAAUGGCCGUGGCAACUGAAUAUUUGUAUCAACGACAUGCUUUCAUGCUCUGCUCGGCUGCUGUGUCAAUGAUGUAGUUGGAGUCCCUUCUUUGCUUCUCGAGGCAUAGACCAUGGACGCCCUCUUGGGAGCGACUUUCAGUAGAACAGACGCCUAACGCACGACCGACGGCAACACCCUCCAGUGCGCGACAUCAUUUCUUCAUCCUACUACGGCAGUCGUCCUUCGAGUUUCAAACUUUGUCCAAAAACUUUGAAUCGUAGGAAUUAUCAUUUUCGGAAAUACGCUACACAAUGAAACGAGUACACAUGUGGCAGCUGAAAUGUUUUUGACAGAAAUAAUGUUGUAGCUAAAAGCAUUUCUAGCAACCUAAAGGAACAACCACUGCUGCUGAUUUUAUAGACACAUACUUAUGUAGAUUAUUGUAUGAACAACCCCUAAACUAUGUGUGUGUAGUUUCAGAAUUUUAAUAUCACUUGACACCAAAGAUGGCUAUGAUCAGAAGGAUAGAAAGACAUGCAUACUUAGUGUUUAUUCCCCAUCAGUUUGUGAUAAAUGAAAGGUGUUAACCAAGCAUAAUGUGCACAGGAUCUGUCCUGGUAAUUCAUUUCCAAUAAAGCCAGGUGAUUUUUCAGCAAAAAGAAUGGCAUGUGAUCCCAUGAUAAUUAUUUUUUAAUUUUUUUGCGAAAACCAUGAUACAGUUAUUAGAUAUAUCUAGUGUCGAUCGGUCCUACUGUGGCCUUAAGAGAAUAAGUAGACAUGCGGCCAGAAACAUAUAUAUAGGUAGAUAUCAUAAGGUCCAGGUUCUGUCCAGAACAAUCGUCUCUAGCAAGUCACCAAAUCAAAAUAUAUCCAUUUGUGCAAUUGUACUGAGUUUGAACAUGCUUAAAUACAUAGAAAUUAGAAAGUAAAUAGCAGAUUAUAUUGUCUGAAACUGAUCUUCCUGGAGAGGAUUAUAUUAGCAGCAACUGAUUAGUUCUAACAAAAUAUGAUUCGUCUAUUUACUUAAAUAAUGGUUCACUUAUUCACCUUCAAUGUUUUGGCGUGAUGGUGUUGAUUCCCUUUCUGCCCUGCUUGUAAUCUCAUCAGGGCUUGAAAUUUCCAAUUUGUUGAUGCUUGAAGGGCAACCAUCUGCUACGUUCAACACGGACACCC
rnacentral:lncRNA from 1 species